rnacentral:lncRNA from 1 species
GCUUUGCGCAAACUCUAUUUAUAUAACAUUUUCAUUUAUUAUUAUUACCUUAUUAAUUGAAUUUAAAAUACGAUUUCGAAGAUAGCCCCUUUGUAAAGACACUCACUGCUUCACAGUGAGUGACGGAGUGCAAGCACUCGCGUUUACCCCUGAUGAUUAGGCAACCCCCAUGACGUGAGUUCGCUGCGCGCGCUUUGACGAGCGGUUGCUCAAACCGACACGUGAUUGGAACUCAGUUACGAUCUUAAGAGGCCGCACGUGCAGAUUCUGAACCAAGGGUUUGACUCGUUUAUCUUCGUGAGAAUUGGAAAAGGAGAGCGUGUAGGCCGUGUACCUUCAGCGUACCGAGUGGGAGCGGGACACACUAUUAGAGAGCGAUAUUUCCCGAAUAGGCUAAGCCCAACGCAACGUUUACGUGCAUCCGGUGGAUUCGUACGUAACUUCGGCGAUCAGUUUCCCAGGCUCGAGUCUGAGAAAUUUUAGUGACUCGAUCACAUUCUCCUAACCCGUGGAACGAUUCGGAAGUGCAGUGAAUUUGCUGGAGUUGUAACAAGCUAGGCCGAUAGAAAAGUAGUGCGAUAGAUAGCUAGCUUUUGUGACCUUUGUGCGAGAACCUGCGAAGAAAGGCAGCGUGGUCACAAGUUUACUUGUCUCCGGCGGCUUCCCUCGUCCGCGGACAGGAUUGCUGGCCGAGCUACAACCCUGUGGCCAGCCGCCACGCCGUCAACAUCGUGGCAGAAAAACCCCCGGUCGUACCGCAACCUUCGACCGAGCCACUCCAGUCACCUGUGGCCUUUUCGACGUAAACGCCUGGCCGCACCGCAACCUAGUUGCCGCGGCGAUCUUCGUCGACUCGUGAGGAUUCUUCACGAAUCACCGUUCGAAGCUGCCUGGCCCCCAACAACCACGUGGCCCGCAGCGAACGCCUCGAACACGCCGUGACGCUGUCACGGACCGAAGGUCGGCAGACCUGAAGACCGACCACGUGGCAAAUCGAUCGGUUCCCGACGCCUGGUAGGUGAGUCGAUCAUCCGCCACACAACCAUCGUGAUCGCACAACAGCAGCAGUAGCAGGUAGCAGAACUCGCAGAGCAGCAGUCUACGGCGCCGGCAAGGGCGAAGUAGAGGAGAAAGAACGCGCACAACGACGACGACGACGACGGGCUCGUAAGUACAAACUCUGUGUUAGUUGUCCGUGUGCACAUGUGACGUCCUUUGAACCACAGAGUUCGCAAGCAUGUACAACCCGCACUAGCCCGCACCGCUAGCCCCCCCCCCA